UACGAAGGGGGCGAGCGUUGUUCGGAAUUACUGGGCGUAAAGGGCGCGUAGGCGGCCGAUCAAGUCAGAUGUGAAAGUCCUGGGCUUAACCUGGGGACUGCAUUUGAUACUGAUUGGCUUGAAUGCAGGAGAGGAUAGCGGAAUUCCCAGUGUAGAGGUGAAAUUCGUAGAUAUUGGGGAAGAACACCGGUGGCGAAGGCGGCUAUCUGGACUGUGAUUGACGCUGGAGGGCGCGAAAGCGUGGGGAGCAAACAGG
rnacentral:rRNA from 1 species